rnacentral:rRNA from 1 species
UACGGAGGGGGCUAGCGUUGUUCGGAAUUACUGGGCGUAAAGCGCGCGUAGGCGGCUUUGUAAGUUAGAGGUGAAAGCCCGGAGCUCAACUCCGGAAUUGCCUUUAAGACUGCAUCGCUAGAAUCAUGGAGAGGUGAGUGGAAUUCCGAGUGUAGAGGUGAAAUUCGUAGAUAUUCGGAAGAACACCAGUGGCGAAGGGCACUCACUGGACAUGUAUUGACGCUGAGGUGCGAAAGCGUGGGGAGCAAACAGG